ACGUGCAAACUUCACAGACAGCACCUGAUGUCAGGAUCGAACCUGGGUCUCUGGCACAGUGAGGCAGGAGCUCUACCAACUGCACCACAGUACUACCAAAAGCCGCAGUCCAUGACAUUCCGCCUGAAGAAAUUUCAUCGAAUCAAAAUCAUGACAGAACCAAAAAAGGAAGCAUCAAGACGGAUGUCAAGACUGCACUCAGGGUGAAUUCAUCAGCAACUGUACUGAGGAAUCUGCUUGCUGAACUUGCACCUGGAAAUCCCAUACAUUUGAAUGGCAAGGAACAGCAAUGCGUAUUAGAUAAUUUCAUUUGGCUAGCUUAAACCGUUUAAAAGUAGUAGUGAUUGUUUUUAAAAAUUAAAUCAAUUACAAGCUUGAGUAAUCAAUGUUUUUGACAACAGCCGUGGCUUAGUUUUUUUCUCAGCUGUAUUGCGAGCAAGACUUGUACGGGCACAUCCAAAUUGUGGCAUAAUGUUACACAAGUCCUCACUGCUGCAGAGAGCUUGAGCUUCAAGGAUCGUGUGGCUGGGAAGCACAAGUUGCCAAUGUUUGAAUCAACAAACACACUACAUACGUUACCAAUGACACUCAUAGCUUGGUGCUGGCAGCAAG